GUUAGAUCUUGGACAAAAAAA
ensembl:piRNA 21ur-4433 ncRNA